rnacentral:tRNA from 1 species
GGGCGGGUAGCUCAGCUGGAUAGAGCUUCGGCUUCCGAAGCCGACGGUCGUAGGUUCGAAUCCUAUUCCGCUCACCA